rnacentral:rRNA from 1 species
GACGAACGCUGGCGGCGCGCUUAACACAUGCAAGUCGAACGGAAAGGCCUGCUUUCCCUUGUGGAUUGCGGGUACUCGAGUGGCGAACGGGUGAGUAACACGUGAGUGAUCUGCCCCCAACUUGGGUAUAAGCCUGGGAAACUGGGUCUAAUUCCCGAUAGGACUGCAGGGUGGUGCCUGUGGUGGAAAACGAUUUUCUAGUGGUUGGGGAUGAGCUCGCGGCCUAUCAGCUUGUUGGUGGGGUAAUGGCCUACCAAGGCGGCGACGGGUAGCCGGCCUGAGAGGGUGGACGGCCACAUUGGGACUGAGAUACGGCCCAGACUCCUACGGGAGGCAGCAGUGGGGUAUAUUGCACAAUGGGCGGAAGCCUGAAGCAGCGACGCCGCGUGGGGGAUGACGGCCUUCGGGUUGUAAACUCCUUUCGACCGCGAGGAAGCCACCUGGUUGGAAGGGUGGUGACGGUAGUGGUAGAAGAAGCACCGGCUAACUACGUG